AGCUCCGGUGGCCUAGUGGUUAGAGCAUCCGCCUCUGAUGCGGGAGGUCACGGGUUCGAACCCCGUUUGAGUCA